rnacentral:lncRNA from 1 species
CCAGCUUUAGCAUAUUGUUUGCUCUUUUCAUUCAACAAUAUGUCUACAUAGUUUGCCUCAUAGUUUCUUCUUUUGAGAAAUAGCUUCUCUAUUUCUUCAUGUGCAUGUUCAACAAAUCAUCAGCAUUUACUCCUUUCUCACACAUUUGUAAGCUGUACCUGCUGUCCAGUACAUUUGUGCUCUAUAUUAAUCAUGUCCAUCACAUUUUUAGAGAACUGAUGUGUAAAUUAUGAGCUAAGUUUCAAAUUUUUAGACUGUUCAAGUAAACGUUCUGUCCAAGUAAGACAAGAAGAGGUUAAUCAAUAGGAGCGUGCUUGGAAGAAGCUGGAUUUAGGAGCCUUUUC